rnacentral:rRNA from 1 species
AGAGUGGCGGACGGGUGAGUAACACGUGGGAAUCUGCUUUUGGUUCGGGAUAACCGCGGGAAACUGCGGCUAAUACCGAAUGCCCUCGCGAGAGGAAAGAUUUAUCGCCAGAAGAGGAGCCCGCGUCCGAUUAGGUAGUUGGUGGGGUAAUGGCCUACCAAGCCGACGAUCGGUAGGGGGCCUGAGAGGGUGAUCCCCCACACUGGUACUGAGACACGGACCAGACACCAUACGGGAGGCAGCAGUGAGGAAUAUUGGACAAUGGGUGAGAGCCUGAUCCAGCCAUCCCGCGUGAAGGACGACUGCCCUAUGGGUUGUAAACUUCUUUUGUAUAGGGAUAAACCUACCCUCGUGAGGGUAGCUGAAGGUACUAUACGAAUAAGCACCGGCUAACUCCGUGCCAGCAGCCGCGGUGAUACGGAGGUGGCAAGCGUUACUCGGAAUUAUUGGGUGUAAAGGGGCAAGUAGGUGGCUUGGUAAGUGAGGGGUGAAUACUCCGGCUCAUCGGGAGAACUGCCUUUUCAUUACUGCCUUGCUUGGAGGGAUGACGGGGGGAAAGGGGANUCCCAGGUGUAGGGGUUGAAAUCUGGUAGAUUUUCU